AAACCAAACAAUAACUACUUAAAAUCUUUAUCAAGAUGGUGGGGGUGGGGAGUAGGAGGAGCAGAGAACUAUUUAAACUAAAAAAGAGGUUAAAAGAGGAUUUGCCACCUUGCCUAUUUUAGCAUAGGGGUAGGAGUUUAACGUUUGAGGCAAUAGCAAAGAUGAUGGAGAUUAGUGCUUCUCAGCACACAUUCUCAGUGCAUUAGGUCAUUGCUUGGUGUCCACUGCCUGCAGCAGAAGGGCUCAUCAUUGUGUUCCCCGUGCUCACUCCCAACCAGUCCUGCUGUUUCGGCUCCAAGCAGAGAGGAGGAGGCCCUGCCUGUCUCCAUGACAACCAUGUGUCGUCCAGGAAGCUGCUCAGAGCUAAAGACCUUCUGAGGCGGGGGAGGGGCCGUUUCUGAGAAAAAACUCACCUCGUUUCUCCUCUUUGCAGCGCAAUUUGCUAAAUUGUGUCUCUUUUAUUGUGUUUUUAUAUAAGACUAUUUACACAAAAGUCACACACCCCAAACCUUAUUUCAUGAACAUAAAAGCCACAUCACAAGAAUUUUUCUAGCAUCUCGCACAUAAUUUCACACACCCCUCUCCUUUUUGUGUUAACUUUAACUUUGUCUCUAGUUCUUCAUUAUUACCCUAGAAUGCUUUAAAUAUUAAUGAACAUUCAAAAGCCAAACACUCCCUGGCAAUAUUGUUAGCAUACAUUAUGAAUACUUGAAAGGAAACACUUUUUGCUUUGCUUUGUGCUUAAAUUUACUAGUAUAAUUUAAAACUGUAGCAUUAAAAAUGUCUUACCAUUAGACGACAUUAGACGUAUGUUAUAUGUAUUAUAAAAAACUAAAUAUAUCAAAUUAAUUCACUAGAGGGUGAGCAAUUGAUUUAUAAUUGUCACAAAUCCUUAACAAUAUUUUACACAUACACAUAUU
rnacentral:lncRNA from 1 species